ensembl:lncRNA
CUGAGAAACUGUUGGUGUCCUCUUAUCGCUGCCGGGGCCGGUCCGUGAGUCAUUUGGUACCUAGCCGCGAGAGUUGAGACUCAGGGAAUACAUAUGACCUACCAACAUUAAAAAUAACCACAGCGUGAAUGAAGAGGAGACAGGAAGUAAAGAAGAUAGACAUUUGUCUUUGACAAGUACAACAGAGUUCGCAAGUUGCAGUUGUGACAAGAUGAGAAGGAAAACCAGAACAAAAGGCGAUGAUUGAUCACAAAUUAUUCAACAUUUCUCUAUUUUUGUUGCUUCUUUAUUCAGGAGCACUUAGUGAAGAUCUUCCGCUUGCCUUCACUGUCAGAGAUGGAGAUAAAGUCACUUUGCCUUGUAAAAAUCGGUUCAACAUUCAUCACAACUGUGACACUAUCACCUGGAUCUUCAGAGAUUCAAGAGGCACACCAGCAGUAGAGCUGGUUAAUCUUGGACAAAUCAAAGAAGAAGCCAAAUCAGACAGACUGAGUGUUACAGCAGAAUGCUCACUGGUUAUAAAGAAGGUCACAGCUGAGGAUGUUGGUCGUUACACCUGCAGACAGUUUAGAGGCAAUCCAGGGAGACAGCAAGGUCCAGAUGCUGUGGUUUAUCUGUCUGUUGUCGUCAUGACCGAAAAGAAGAACGCUGAUGAGGUGACUUUAAGCUGCUCUGUGUUGACAUUUGAUCAGUGUAGACACAAAGUGAAGUGGAUCCAUAACAGAAGAGAUCUGGAUAGAGAUUACUCAAAUUUAAAAACAUCACAGUCUUCCUGCUCUGCUACUGUGACAUUUCUGAACCUUACAUAUGGUCACAUAUCAAGUUCUGACUUUAAGUGUAGCUUAAAAAGAACAGAAAAUAACAAAGAGCAGCUUUUUACCUUCAGCCAUCAUUCAUCAGGUGAAGAAACAAAUACAGCAACAACAGUUAAAUUAGACACAGUGACUACAAUAAAAGUGCUGGAAAUGGAUGGUUCAACAAACUUACCAGAAAUAUAUGCAGCAGCAACAAUUAAAUUGGAAAUAAUGACUGAAUCUGGCAUUAAAGGAGGUCUGACAACAAAACAGCUGGAAAUCAUGAAUGGUUUGAGAAAAUUACCAGACUGGUCCUGGUACAGGCUUGCCAUUGUGGCCCUGGGUUUAGUAGCACUUAUAGCAGCUGUUGUUGUCGUCAGCAUCUGGAUAAGAGCUGGGAAAAAAGCACAGAUGGAUGAAAACAUGGCUGAUCUUCAAGAUGUUGUUCUCUACACCUCCCUCAGCUACACUGAGACCACCUACAGCUGUCCAGGUCUUCAGGUUCCCUAUAAAGAAGAUGAAGAAGGUGAAGCUUUGACCUACAUUAUAUGUUCAGUCUCUUCUCCUGGACCUGCUCCCAGCAACCUCUAUGCUAGCAUCAACAAACCAAAAGACUAAAAAACAGGAAAAAACACAGAAUCUCUUUUUCUUUGAUAACUUCUUUCUUUCUUUCCAUUCUUGUGUAAUGAAAGAGGGUUUCUGUUUUGUUAAAGUUCCCAGGAUUUAACAACAGUGAUAAUAUAAUCUGUAUUUUAAUUUUUAAUUUCUAACCCAGAAUGUUGCACUAUAUUUUUUCAUAGAUUGUUUAUUGCUUUAUCAGUGUACAUAUAUGUGUUUGUAUAUCUGCAGUUUAGGCCUGAUGAUUUUAUGAUAUUAAAAAGUGUUUUUCCAUUAUGUAAAAUCCCAAGCAGCCAAUAAAGGCUCCAGCACGUGAGUUUUAUUGUCAU